rnacentral:rRNA from 1 species
CUAGGAUAUAGCUGGUUUUCUGCGAAAAUUGUUUUGGCAAAUUGUUUAUGAAUGUAUAAAUAGUGGGUAUAGCACUGAAUACUUUGAGGGAGUAUUGUUAUAUUUAUCUCGAGUGUUUAAUCUCAAAAUAACUAUUUAUUUUAUGUAAAUAAUCAGACUAUUUGCGAUAAGCUAGAUAGUCG